rnacentral:rRNA from 1 species
AGAGUUUGAUCAUGGCUCAGGACGAACGCUGGCGGCGUGCCUAACACAUGCAAGUCGAGCGGAAAGGCCCUUCGGGGUACUCGAGCGGCGAACGGGUGAGUAACACGUGAGCAAUCUGCCCCUAGCAUCGGGAUAGCUCCGGGAAACCGGAAUUAAUACCGAAUAUGACCUCGGCCGACAUCGGCUGUGGUGGAAAGCUU